ACGAACGCUGGCGGCAUGCCUAAUACAUGCAAGUCGAACGAGAUCUUCGGAUCUAGUGGCGCACGGGUGCGUAACGCGUGGGAAUCUGCCCUUGGGUUCGGAAUAACAGCGGGAAACUGCUGCUAAUACCGGAUGAUGACGAAAGUCCAAAGAUUUAUCGCCCAAGGAUGAGCCCGCGUAGGAUUAGGUAGUUGGUGGGGUAAAGGCCUACCAAGCCUACGAUCCUUAGCUGGUCUGAGAGGAUGAUCAGCCACACUGGGACUGAGACACGGCCCAGACUCCUACGGGAGGCAGCAGUAGGGAAUAUUGGACAAUGGGGGCAACCCUGAUCCAGCAAUGCCGCGUGAGUGAUGAAGGCCUUAGGGUUGUAAAGCUCUUUUACCCGGGAUGAUAAUGACAGUACCGGGAGAAUAAGCCCCGGCUAACUCCGUGCCAGCAGCCGCGGUAAUACGGAGGGGGCUAGCGUUGUUCGGAAUUACUGGGCGUAAAGCGCACGUAGGCGGCGAUUUAAGUCAGAGGUGAAAGCCCGGGGCUCAACCCCGGAACUGCCUUUGAGACUGGAUUGCUAGAAUCUUGGAGAGGCGGGUGGAAUUCCGAGUGUAGAGGUGAAAUUCGUAGAUAUUCGGAAGAACACCAGUGGCGAAGGCGGCCCGCUGGACAAGUAUUGACGCUGAGGUGCGA
rnacentral:rRNA from 1 species